CAGUAAAGUAGUCAGUAGCAGACUUUCUCUUCUUCCCUCUCGCGCUUUUUCCUUUUGAACCGAUUCCUUUUCCUUUAAAUCCCUCAAGCUCGCAACUUUCCUCUCUUCGCUUCAUCUGCACCCCAAUUCUUCAUAGCUAGAAGUCCGAACCUUAUGCCCGUUUCUUGCAACUUAUUGUCGAGUAGCCUUCACUGCCGAGAAGAGGGAAGAUGAGUAGGUUGGUGCGGUUGACAUGGAUGCGAUUGUGUAAACUAAUAAUGAUUUCCAGGCCUGUUGGGAAGUCUUUGCGAGAUAGAGCAAUAGCAGUGGCAAGAAGAGUCUCGAUAAUAAGAGAUAAGGAUGCUGGGAAUAUGAAGGCGUGUUGUCCCGUUUGUUUGGAACCUUUCAACGCCCCGCUGGAUUCUGAUCUGAGAAUGACGUUGGCUAUACACUUGAGUCUGUGGCAUGCUGAUGAUGUCAACUUGAUGUGGGAGAUGAUGCAGAACGAAGGAAAAUCAGUCGUCCACAUGCCCUCGUUCUUCUUUGGAGUCGGGAUGGGUGCUGGAGUUGGAGCCCUGACUCUUUUGGCCAAAAAUUGGGUAACCACUAAAGCUAAUAAAAGGUAAAAUCUUCUUUG